UUGGCCCGCCUUAAAUCAGUUGUUACUUAAUAUACACAUGCAAGUAUCAGCACCCCUGGAGAACGCCCUUAAAUCCCAAUUGGGAUAAGGAGCUGGUAUCGGCCUUUUCCCGCCCAAGACACCUAGCCACGCCACACCUCAAGGAAUCAGCAGUGAUAAACAUUGACAAUAAGCGACAGCUUGACCCAGUUAAAGUAAAAAGAGCCGGCUAAUCUGGUGCCAGCCGCCGCGUACACCACGUGGCUCAAAUGAUUUUAUCGGCGUAAAGCGUGAUUAAAGUUCUCUUAAUUUGAGUAAAAACUAAGCGUGACACGCUUGUUAGAACCAAAACGAAAGUACCCAACACUUGAAUCACGACAGCUGAAACAAACUGGGAUUAGAUACCCCACUAUGCUAGCCGUAAACUUUAAUACACCUAUCGCCGGGAACUACGAGCAAAGCUUAAAACCCAAAGGACUUGACGGUACCCCAACCACUAGAGGAGCCUGUCCUAUAACGAUAACCCCGUUAACCUCACCACUUUUGCCUAUCAGCCUGUAUACCUCCGUCGUCAGCUUACCACGUGAGCGCUAUUGAUGAGCUUAAUGCCCCUACGCCAACACGUCAGGUCAAGGUGCAGCUAAUAAGUGGGAAGAGAUGGGCUACACUUUCUAUAUUAAAGAACGAAAGACUAAUAUGAAAUCUAGUCAGAAGAGGAUUUAGUAGUAAAAAGAAAACACAGUGUUCUUUUUACCCGGCACUGGGGUGUGUACACACCCCGUCACCCUCUUCAGGCCUAAUAAGUAUAUAACGUACCCUGCAAAGGCAAGUCUACGGUAU
rnacentral:ncRNA from 1 species